rnacentral:rRNA from 1 species
AUGAACGCUGGCGGCAUGCCUAAGACAUGCAAGUCGAACGGAGCGAACUUAUGAAAAUGGAGUGCUUGCACAAAGUUGGAAUUUGACCUCGCUUAGUGGCGAAAGGGUGAGUAACACGUGGGAAUCUGCCUUUAAGACUGGGACAACAGUUGGAAACGACUGCUAAUACCGGAUGAUAUAUAAGAUGAUACGUUAUCUUAUAUUAAAAGAAGCCUUUAAAGCUUCACUUAAAGAUGAGCCUGCGGCGUAUUAGCUAGUUGGUAAGGUAAUGGCUUACCAAGGCGACGAUGCGUAGCCGAACUGAGAGGUUGAUCGGCCACAUUGGGACUGAGACACGGCCCAAACUCCUAUGGGAGACAGCAGUUAGGAAUAUUCGUCAAUGGGGGAAACCCUGAACGAGCAAUGCCGCGUGAGUGAUGACGGUCCUUUGGAUUGUAAAACUCUUUUAUUAGGGACGAACGACUAGUAUAGGAAAUGAUACUAGAGUGACGGUACCUUUUGAAUAAGCCCCGGCUAACUACGUGCCAGCAGCCGCGGUAAUACGUAGGGGGCGAGCGUUAUCCGGAUUUAUUGGGUGUAAAGGGAGCGUAGACGGUUUUGCGAGUCUGAAGUGAAAGCCCGGGGCUUAACCCCGGGACUGCUUUGGAAACUGUAGAACUCGAGUGCAGGAGAGGUAAGUGGAAUUCCUAGUGUAGCGGUGAAAUGCGUAGAGAUUAGGAAGAACACCGGUGGCGAAGGCGACUUUCUGGACGAAAACUGACGCUGAGGCGCGAAAGCGUGGGGAGCAAACAGGAUUAGAUACCCUGGUAGUCCACACCGUAAACGAUGAUUACUAGGUGUUGGAGGAUUGACCCCUUCAGUGCCGCAGUUAACACAAUAAGUAAUCCACCUGGGGAGUACGACCGCAAGGUUGAAACUCAAAGGAAUUGACGGGGGCCCGCACAAGCAGUGGAGUAUGUGGUUUAAUUCGAAGCAACGCGAAGAACCUUACCAGGGCUUGACAUAUAGAGGAAUAACUAAGAGAUUAGUUAGCUCUUCGGAGUCUCUAUACAGGUGGUGCAUGGUUGUCGUCAGCUCGUGUCGUGAGAUGUUGGGUUAAGUCCCGCAACGAGCGCAACCCUUAUCUUUAGUAGCCAGCAGUAAGAUGGGCACUCUAGAGAGACUGCCGGGGAUAACCCGGAGGAAGGUGGGGAUGACGUCAAAUCAUCAUGCCCCUUAUGACCUGGGCCACACACGUGCUACAAUGGACGGGACAGAGGGAAGCGAAGGCGCGAGCCGGAGCGGACCCCAGAAACCCGUUCCCAGUUCGGACUGCAGUCUGCAACUCGACUGCACGAAGCCGGAAUCGCUAGUAAUCGCGGAUCAGAAUGCCGCGGUGAAUACGUUCCCGGGCCUUGUACACACCGCCCGUCACACCAUGAGAGUUGGCAACACCCGAAGCCGGCGGCCCAACCCGCAAGGGAGGGAGCUGUCUAAGGUGGGGCUGAUGAUUGGGGUG